GUUGAAGAGAAGAGUAGCAGAAAAUGGCAAAUCACGCUAUGGAGGGUAAGGUUACCCUGAGAAAGACCAUUGGCUUUUUUAGUGGAGUUAAUUUUAUAAUUGGAGUCAUAAUAGGAUCUGGAAUUUUUACAUCACCGGGAGGAGUGCUACUAUAUUCACAGCUAAAUGUUGGAAUCUCAUUGGUAAUAUGGGCUGCAUGCGGAGUUAUUUCAAUGCUGGGUGCUUUGUGCUAUGCAGAACUAGGAACCACUUUUCCAUCAUGCGGAGGGGAGUAUUUUUAUAUUAAAAGGGGUCUUGGUUCAUUGCCUGCAUUUAUUUUCUUAUGGACAGGAGUUCUAUUUACGGGACCUGCUGUAACCACUCUUAAUGCUUUAAUGUUCUCUGAAUAUGCUGUUCAGCCUUUUUUCCCAGGAUGCCAUACACCAGAACUAAUCAAAAAGGCAGCAGCCAUUGCUAUUAUUUUGAUAGUAGGAAUUAUUAAUUGUCUAAACACCAAGUGGAUUGUGGUCAUCCAAAACAUAUUUUCAGUUCUGAAGAUGGUUGUCCUCGCAGCAAUAGCUAUAUGUGGACUGGUUCAUUUGGCAAUGGGAAAAACACAAAAUGUACAGAGAGCAUUUGAUGGAGAUAUUCCAAAUGUAUCACAGUUUGGAGAAGCCUUCUAUCAAGGAAUGUUUGCAUACGGUGGAUGGAAUGUUCUCAAUUUUACCAUUGGUGAGUUA